UACGAAGGGGGGCUAGCGUUGUUCGGAAUUACUGGGCGUAAAGGGCUCGUAGGCGGUUGGUCACGUCGGGAGUGAAAACUCAGGGCUCAACCCUGAGCGUGCUUCCGAUACGGGCCGACUAGAGGUAUGCAGGGGAGAACGGAAUUCCUGGUGUAGCGGUGGAAUGCGCAGAUAUCAGGAGGAACACCGGUGGCGAAGGCGGUUCUCUGGGCAUUACCUGACGCUGAGGAGCGAAAGCAUGGGGAGCGAACAGG
rnacentral:rRNA from 1 species